rnacentral:rRNA from 1 species
CCCAUAGCGUAUAUUAAAGUUGUUGCAGUUAAAAAGCUCGUAGUUGAAUUUUGGGUCUGGCCGGGCGGUCCGCCCUCUGGGUGAGCACUGUUCCGACGCCCGGCCUAUCCUUCUGGUGAGUCGGCAUGUCCUUUGUUGGGUGUGUCGGGGAACCAGGACCAUUACCUUGAAAAAAUUAGAGUGUUCAAAGCAGGCGUAUGCUCGGAUACAUUAGCAUGGAAUAAUGAAAUAGGACGCGUGGUGCUAUUUUGUUGGUUUCUAGAACCGCCGUAAUGAUUAAUAGGGAUAGUUGGGGGCAUUAGUAUUCAAUUGUCAGAGGUGAAAUUCUUGGAUUUAUUGAAGACUAACUUCUGCGAAAGCAUUUGCCAAGGAUGUUUUCAUUAAUCAAGAACGAAAGUUAGGGGAUCGAAGACGAUCAGAUACCGUCGUAGUCUUAACCAUAAACUAUGCCGACUAGGAAUCGGGCGAUGUUAUUCUCAUGACUCGCCCGGCGCCUUAUG